UAAGGGAUAAGUGGCUCUAAUUCAUACUCACUGAUGUGAAUGAGGUAUGUGAAAGAGGUAAAUGAAGGAUUUUGAGGAUGAAGCUCAAUUAGGAAGCUUUUGUGUUUAAUUACUCGCUUGUCUGUAUUGCUAAGUGACGUUGUAGUUGAUUUAAUAGUAUUAUGGGAUGACUGUAAAUCCGUUUAGAUCAAUACGGAUAUGUGUAGUUAUGAGCUUUAUAACCUUGGGAGACCCAUAACUGGUUGUAUGUGGUAAAUGCUAUUUGAAUGAAUUAUGUUUUUCCGCAACAUAAAUUUGUAUGAUAAGAAAAUAGGGUAAAGAGUAUUUUCGAAAAUGAUACUUGAGAGUUUU